AUUGGAUUCUGUUCCUCUGUUCCUGCUGGUGCUUCUGCUUCUGCCGCUGCCACUGCCACUGCGAUGUUGUAAAAGUUUUGCGCACAAAUCAGCAGCACAGCCAAAGGAUACGCAAAGUGGAUGAAUAACAGCGGCAACAACAUCACCACACUGAGCGAUCAAACAUUCAAACGGAAAUGUAUUUGCUUAAAUGGAACACAUUAUUAUUAAACAUAAGCAUGAUUGAGAAAAUAAUUACAUAGAAAUACGCCUUUU
rnacentral:lncRNA from 1 species